CUCCUAAGGAUGGUUCACAAGGUAACAGUUCUAAGGGAAAUAAAUCGUGGAAGAAUAAGGAGAAGAAAUAAGGGUUUAAGAAUGGUGACAGACCAAGUGCCUUUGUUAAGCACAAUGGGAAUAAGGAAAAUGGUAACGAGGUGCACAAAUACAGUGAUAAGUUACACUAUGGCACUUGUUUGUUCAAGGGCAAGCUUAAAUGUCAUAGAUGUGACAAAUUUGGUCAUAUAGCCGAGCCUACCAGAGCAAGGUGAAAAUGGGAAACGAUGAACUAGUGCAAGCUACUGGAAAAGGUACGUUAGUGAAGAUUGUGACAUUUAAGGAUUGCAACAGAAAGUGGAUUGCAAAAAGUGGAUAGCCAUUGCAGUGAAGGCAGGUCGAUGGAAGGCUGGAUUGAAGUGAAGAAUUCCAAGUUCCGUUCUUAAUUUUGUCAAGUUCAAAUGUAAAUGAACGGUUGAGAUUAGACUAACUCAUAGGCUAGGAUUGCACCAGCUGUCAUAACAAAUAAUGCAUUUUAAUUUGUACUCAUGCAUUGCACGUGAGCUUGCUAAGCAUAUUGAGCGUGUGAGAUUGUAACGGUUACUUUUUUUUUUGGAGUUUUGACGAAACACUCCGGAUACUGUUCACUUUUAACGAAAAACCACAUUUUUACCUUUC